CCUCCGCAAUGCACGCAAGUGCGACGGGGGAACCCCAAGUGCCACUCUUAACGGGGUGGCUUUUCAGAAGUGUAAAAAGCUUCUGGAAUAAGGGCUGGGCAAGACCGGUGCCAGCCGCCGCGGUAACACCGGCAGCUCAAGUGGUAGCCGCUUUUAUUGGGCCUAAAGCGUCCGUAGCCGGUCUGAUAAGUCUCUGGUGAAAUCCCACAGCUUAACUGUGGGAAUUGCUGGAGAUACUAUCAUGACUCGAGGUCGGGAGAGGCUGGAGGUACUCCCAGGGUAGGGGUGAAAUCCUGUAAUCCUGGGAGGACCACCUGUGGCGAAGGCGUCCAGCUGGAACGAACCUGACGGUGAGGGACGAAAGCCAGGGGCGCGAACCGGA
rnacentral:rRNA from 2 species